ensembl:lncRNA
UGCAGAUAUGUAAAUAUGUACAUGAUCAAAUCUCAUCAAAAUUUGUAAUUGCUGUUGUGAUAUCUGUGACAAUGCACAUGGCCACACAGGGUCUGAAGUCUGUAGCUGUGUGUUUUUCAGGGACACCGACGAAGGCGAGGAUGAGUCUUCACUACAGCAAUCCACGAAUUUUUCCUGCGUACCUCCCGAACCACUUACCGGACAGUUUGGGAACCGAGGGCCUAAAGAAACUACAGAGCGAAGAGCAGGAGGAACAAGAGAACACGUGGCUUUCUCUGGGGACACCGACGAAGGCGAGGAAGAGUCUUCACUACAGCAAUCCACGGUAUGGAUAUGAAACAGAAGCUGGCACUUUUACAAUCAGUAGGUCUGGACCCGGCUCCGUCCGGUCUGAUACAAAAGUGUUGUAAUGACUUCACACACAUGUUAUAUAUUGGAGGAC